CGACAAAAAAAAAAAUUUCGUCGGCUAUAGUCCCACAGUUUAGCCGACGAAAAACAUGUCGUCGGUUUUUUUCCCAGACUUUAGCCGACGAAACAAUUCAGAUAUUCGUCGGCUAAAGUCUGUAAUAAAAUAUUUUUUCCCAGACUAUAGCCGACGAAAUAUAGUCUGUUUCAUCGGCUAAACCUUAUAAAAAAAUUAAAAAAAUAACUAUAGCCGACGAAAUAUAGUCUGUUUCGUCUGCUAAACCUUAUAAAAAAAUUUAAAAAAUAACUAUAGCCGACGAAAUAUAAUCUGUUUCGUCGGCUAAACCUUAUAAAAAAAAUUUUAAAAAUAAUUAUAGCCGACGAAAUAUAGUCUGUUUCGUCGGCUAAACCUAAUAAAAAAAUUAAAAAAAUAACUAUAGCCGACGAAAUAUGCCAUAAUUCGUCGGCUAAACCUUAUAAAAAAAUUUUAAAAUACUACAGCCGACGAAUAAACCUUUAAAUAUCGUCGGCUAAAGUUACUGGUUUUUGAAAAAAAAAAUUGCAGAAACUUUCGGCCACCUCCAAUCACCACCAAAAUUUGACAGAAUCUUCCUCUUAACAUUUCGAACAACUUUCUAGAAGAAGUCAAAGCCUAAUUCUAAGCCUAAACAGGUCAAUUGAAUCAAAAUAUAAAAAUCCCCAAUUUUAAACCCUAAAAACUUCAAAUUUUCGAUUCUCCUCACACACACCGAAUCGAACUACCAAAUUCUAGGGGAAUGUAGUACUAAUCAAACUCAACUUAUUCAUAUAUAGAACUCACCAAAUGGUGACCUGAGGAAGGAGAAAUUCGAUCGACACCGAAUCCGAACCGGCGGAGUUUUGGAGCUUGAUUUAUCCCUCACGGCGGCGCCACUCAAUGCACCACAUGUCCAGCAAUGUAGUAGAGACGAUGGCGAAGCUUUUGGGACAAGUGUGGCGGUCUCCGGUGGCUUGACGGCGGAGUUAGGCCGAGAAGAAAAUCUGGCAGGCGAAACAGACUUCUUACCAUCCACCUUCGGUAAAACUUCUAUAUAAAGAACUUUAGCCGACGAAAUUCUUUAUUUUCGUCGGCUAAACUCUUUUGAAAAUUUUAGUUGACCGCCAAAAAAUUUUGGUUNNNN
rnacentral:lncRNA from 1 species